rnacentral:tRNA from 1 species
GUGACCAUGGUGUAGUGGUAACACAAGGGUUUGUGGCACCCUUGACGAGGGUUCAAUUCCCUCUGGUCACC